CACCGCCGCCUAAGCUCCGCCCCUUCCGCCUGCGCCACUAGUAGGGGCUGAUGCGGGCGCAGUGGAUUGGCGGGCGCCGGCAGCUGCCACGUAAAGGACGCAUGGCAGCCGCCGAAGGACAAGCGACUCUGAGCGGCCCGAGCCUGGACGGCGGCUCCGAAGGACCAAAAAUUUUUCCCUAGUCCUUUCGCGUCAAAGCUAAAGUUCAUGUGGACUUCCCAGGAAAACGACAGUGUCCGGAAUCCUCUGCAGUGCCCUCUUAGGAUCGUCCAGGACGAUGGCGAAAGAUUUGCAGGCAGCAAUAGGAGGACCUGAAGUCAAAUUCACCCAGAGGAUCACAGGCUCUCAGGACUUGACAGGUCACCCACAGUAAAGCUAUCAUGUCAUGAGGACACUCAAGCAGCUCUGGGAGAGAUCCCAUGUGGCAAGAAGCUGUGAAUUCUCACCAACAGCCAUGCAAGAUUCCCCAGCCCCAGUCGAGCCUUCAGAUGACCAUAGCCCCAGCUGAUAUCUUGACUGCAGUAUCAUGAAAAACCAUGUAUCAGAACUGCUCAGCCGUGUUGCUCCCAAAUUCUGGACCUGCAGAAACUAUGAAAGACAAUAAAUGAUUAUUGUUGUUUUAAGUCACUAUGUUUUGAGCUAACUUCUUAUACAGCAAUAGAUACUAAUGCAUAUUUUAACCAGUUUCCUACAUUAAA